CAGCUGUGUUCCCGGAUGCAGGGUCUCCAGAGGGCCAACCCUUCCUGCCUAGAGGCUGGAGAGGGGUGGGGGCCCUUUGGGGGUCAGCUUGCAGUUUCCUUUGGGGGCCUCCUGCCCUGUGGCUUGGUCCCUGGGCCAGAACUGCUCCUGUGGGUGUCCAGGCUGGGCCCCCAGGCCCUCCCCCAGGCCUCGAGGUGGCCUCAGCUUUCCUCCCCUGCAGGAAAUCGUGACUAUUGUGGUGUUUGGCGUGGAGUACUUCGUGCGGAUCUGGGCCGCAGGCUGCUGCUGCCGGUACCGUGGCUGGAGGGGGCGGCUCAAGUUUGCCCGGAAGCCAUUCUGUGUGAUUGACAUCAUGGUGCUCAUCGCCUCCAUUGCGGUGCUGGCCGCCGGCUCCCAGGGCAACGUCUUUGCCACAUCUGCGCUCCGGAGCCUGCGCUUCCUGCAGAUUCUGCGGAUGAUCCGCAUGGACCGGCGGGGAGGCACCUGGAAGCUGCUGGGCUCUGUGGUCUAUGCCCACAGCAAGGAGCUGGUCACUGCCUGGUACAUCGGCUUCCUUUGUCUCAUCCUGGCCUCGUUCCUGGUGUACUUGGCAGAGAAGGGGGAGAACGACCACUUUGACACCUACGCGGAUGCACUCUGGUGGGGCCUGAUCACGCUGACCACCAUUGGCUACGGGGACAAGUACCCCCAGACCUGGAACGGCAGGCUCCUUGCGGCGACCUUCACCCUCAUCGGUGUCUCCUUCUUUGCGCUGCCUGCAGGCAUCUUGGGGUCUGGCUUUGCCCUGAAGGU
rnacentral:sRNA from 1 species